CGCCGCGGCUUCCCCAGCUGGCUGCCCGCGGCUCAUCCCCCGCUCCCCCCCCCCCCCCACACUGGUGGUUUGAAAAUAACGGCGAAACACGGCGUAGGGGCCCCCCAGCGCCCUGGUGGUUUACAAAGCGGGGCUGCGAGGGAGGGGGGCAUGCCGGUGCCCAGGAAAGCACGUAUUGGCUAUGGGGCAGGCCCAGGGAGACCUGCCUCUGCACUAUUACAAAGCUCCUGCUGCGUUUCUGGGGCCCAAACUGCUGUGUUACCUGACAAACAACAGGGAAGGCCCUUGUCUGCUGCGUGUGAGUGCCUGCACCACUAGAAAGCUGAAUCUGGCGCCAGGUUUUUGCAAUUUUCUGUCCCAGCCAUGAUCUUUUUGUUACACGUUGAGGAAUGAGAACAGGCGACAGUUAGGAAGGUUUACUGGCAAUGGAAAGACUGCAGCAACCAUUCUACCACAAAACAGCACUCAAAAACAAAACAAUGUAAUCUUGCAGAUACAUUUCUCAACCCCCGCCAAUUUCUGCUCUCCAUAAACUAAUUCCAGCAUUUCCAUCUGGCUGAGAUGCCAUGAGAUGCCAGGUUCAUUAGGUUAAAUUCAGGAAAGCUGGCUGAUCCAUAUUGCAGAAUGCUAAAGCAGGUCCUUGAAUCAGCUACAUUUUCAGUGCCUUAAAGCCAGAUCCACAAUGUAAACAAAAAUUCAUGCAAGAGUUGUUAAAUGACUACUAAACAGUAGAGAUGACUACACUGAUCUUUGUGCACUGGAAACCUGGUAAGCACAUGCUUUCAUUGUGUACAAAUACUGUAAGAAUGAGUUAGCAUUAUUCUGUAAUAGCUGUGCACUGUGGGCCAGUUCCCAAGGGAUCCAUGUAUGAAUAUUCAUGACAGAGGGGAAAAAUAACAAGGUCUU